AAGACUCUUCUAGAAAUCCAAGAUAUAUCAUUGUAGUACCUACUGCAACAGACAAAAAUAUUUGCCCACUCCACAAAAGGAAGCAAAUCAGUUGGUAACAACAUCCUGAAGCUCUCUGGGUUUUUCUUUUCAAAGGUUCCGUUUUCCAAAAGCCUCCGCAGCCACCGCUACUGUCUAGUGUGGCACAGAUCGCUGCAGUUUCUACCAUAGAUGGCACCUGAGAUGUUUGCUCGCCUCUGAUGUUGGUCUAAAGACUGGGUUUGUUGUUGAUUGGUGCAACUUGUUACAACAUCUUGUAGUGUCAUGGUUGGUCAGAAUUUGGAAUUUACAACAUUUUGUAGUGUCAUUUUGUAGUAGCACAAAUAUCUGUAUCCUGGGUUCUGAACUAUCAAUGUCACUGCCGUGUUGGACCUGGUAUUGGACCUGAUACGCACGGAUAGUCACAAUGACAUAAAGGUUAUCAAACAUCAUAUAAGUUUUAGUUCAGAUUUCAAUGUAAGUGCCGUGUGGCCAAUGGUAUAAAAAUUAAAUCUUUGCUACUUCACGUUGA